rnacentral:rRNA from 1 species
AUUGAACGCUGGCGGCAUGCCUUACACAUGCAAGUCGAACGGCAGCGCGGGGCAACCUGGCGGCGAGUGGCGAACGGGUGAGUAACAUAUCGGAACAUACCCUAGAGUGGGGGAUAACGUAGCGAAAGUUACGCUAAUACCGCAUACGCACUAAGGUGGAAAGUGGGGGAUUCGCAAGAACCUCAUGCUCAUGGAGUGGCCGAUAUCUGAUUAGCUAGUUGGUGAGGUAAAGGCUCACCAAGGCGACGAUCAGUAGCUGGUUUGAGAGAACGACCAGCCACACUGGAACUGAGAC